GACGAACGCUGGCGGCGUGCUUAACACAUGCAAGUCGAACGGAAAGGCCCUGCUUUUGUGGGGUGCUCGAGUGGCGAACGGGUGAGUAACACGUGAGUAACCUGCCCUUGACUUUGGGAUAACUUCAGGAAACUGGGGCUAAUACCGGAUAGGGGCUCCUGCUGCAUGGUGGGGGUUGGAGAGUUUCGGCGGUUGGGGAUGGACUCGCGGCUUAUCAGCUUGUUGGUGGGGUAGUGGCUUACCAAGGCUUUGACGGGUAGCCGGCCUGAGAGGGUGACCGGCCACCUUGGGACUGAGGUACGGCCCAGACUCCUACGGGAGGCAGCAGUGGGGAAUAUUGCACAAUGGGCGGAAGCCUGAUGCAGCAACGCCGCGUGCGGGAUGACGGCCUUCGGGUUGUAAACCGCUUUCGCCUGUGACGAAGCGUGAGUGACGGUAAUGGGUAAAGAAGCACCGGCUAACUACGUG
rnacentral:rRNA from 1 species